CGCCACAGCCGCCUUUCGACAACUUUUUGUUACAAAAGUGGAGAUCUACACGGAGGCGACGGCCUAGGUCGCUCUGACAGGACCCAACGACCCUCCUGACGCGUCCACCCGUCCUCGCUAGCAGGGUCCCCCAGCGGGCUCUCGACCUGCGCCACCAGAGUUCCACUCUUUUUGUCGACAAUAAUAUGGCGCCCAAACACGUGGGGCCUCAGAGAAGACUCUGGAUCCGGAAGGAGUAUCCCAAAACCAGAGCUAAGGUACCAGCUGGAGCCCACUGAAGCCUCACCGAGUUUGGGCUUCUCCUCCUGUGGAACUGGAAACCAAAAUCAUGGUAUUUUGAAAACCAGAGGUAUGAAUCUCCCUCGUUUGGCAUCCCACUGGGCCUGGACCUGUUUCACUGCUAAUGUUCUGCUGCCAAAACUAUACAAGCUGCCUGGACUAUUGCAGAAGAGCUGAAGAAGUCCACAACCUGGAAACACCAAGACAACCAGACAAAAAAAGCCCUGAAACAAAAGUUUGCUGUUUCUAGCCAAAGAAUCAAGAAAGGAGCAGCCUAGCAUGAAACAAACUUGUAAGCAAUGGAAAAGAAAAUUACCAAAAACAGAGAAGGAUAUUACAUGAUAAUAAAAGUGUCAAUCCAACAAAGAGAGAACAUUCCUAAACGUGCAUGCGCCAAACAAUGAUGCUGCAAAAAAAUGAGAAUCAAAAACUGACAGAAGUGAAAGAAGAAGUCAACAAAUCAGCACUUAUAGUUUGAUACUUCAACAACC
rnacentral:lncRNA from 1 species